rnacentral:rRNA from 1 species
AUACGGGAGGCAGCAGUGGGGAAUUUUGGACAAUGGGCGCAAGCCUGAUCCAGCCAUGCCGCGUGCGGGAAGAAGGCCUUCGGGUUGUAAACCGCUUUUGGCAGGAACGAAACGGCGCGAGCGAAUACCUCGCGCUAAUGACGGUACCUGCAGAAUAAGCACCGGCUAACUACGUGCCAGCAGCCGCGGUAAUACGUAGGGUGCAAGCGUUAAUCGGAAUUACUGGGCGUAAAGCGUACGCAGGCGGCUUUGCAAGACAGGUGUGAAAUCCCCGGGCCUAACCUGGGAACUGCAUUUGUGACUGCAUGGCUAGAGUCUGUCAGAGGGGGGUGGAAUUCCACGUGUAGCAGUGAAAUGCGUAGAGAUGUGGAAGAACACCGAUGGCGAAGGCAGCCCCCUGGGAUGAGACUGACGCUCAUGUACGAAAGCGUGGGGAGCAAACAGGAUUAGAUACCCGAGUAGUCCG